rnacentral:rRNA from 1 species
AAGGAAUGACUGCGAAUACGUAAACCAAGUGUCACUGUUGGCUUUGGCGGGCAAGGUCCCCUUUGGCCCAGUGGCUUCGUGCGCCCCAUCCCAUCUCAUCCCGUUGGGGUCGGAUGGGUAGGACGAACGAUGAAAGCCCGGCGCAAUGGGCGCCAAGGAAGACAAACCUCGGGGGCACAUGUUUGGGGCCAUGUUGGCCUCUAAUGCACCCCAGUGUAUGAAUCCAAACCUCACAUGACUCUCGGCAACGGAUAUCUCGGCUCUCGCAUCGAUGAAGAACGUAGCGAAAUGUGAUAUUUGGUGUGAAUUGCAGAAUCCCGUGAACCAUCGAGUCUUUGAACGCAAGUUGCGCCCGAGGCCUUGCGGCUAAGGGCACGCCUGCCUGGGCGUCACGCUAUCGACGCUCCACACCCAUCCCCAUGGCAUGGGCAAUGGAUGCGGAAGUUGGCCCCCCGUGUGCGAGGCACCCUUGCAUCUGGUCGGCCAAAGACUAUGGCUAUCGCGUGUCCCCAAGGACAUGAUGGGCGGUGGAUAUGCCCUUGAGCAUGCUUAAACAUUAUGCCUUGACAC